AUUGAACGCUGGCGGCAUGCCUUACACAUGCAAGUCGAACGGUAACGGGCCUUCGGGUGCCGACGAGUGGCGAACGGGUGAGUAAUACAUCGGAACGUGCCCGAUCGUGGGGGAUAACGAGGCGAAAGCUUUGCUAAUACCGCAUACGAUCUACGCAUGAAAGCAGGGGACCGCAAGGCCUUGCGCGGACGGAGCGGCCGAUGGCAGCUUAGGUAGUUGGUGGGAUAAAAGCUUACCAAGCCGACGAUCUGUAGCUGGUCUGAGAGGAUGAUCAGCCACACUGGGACUGAGACACGGCCCAGACUCCUACGGGAGGCAGCAGUGGGGAAUUUUGGACAAUGGGCGCAAGCCUGAUCCAGCCAUGCCGCGUGCAGGAUGAAGGCCUUCGGGUUGUAAACUGCUUUUGUACGGAACGAAAAGCCUUCUUUUAAUACAGGAGGGUCAUGACGGUACCGGAAGAAUAAGCACCGGCUAACUACGUG
rnacentral:rRNA from 1 species